CAAAAGAGUGGGAAGAGCUUCAAGUAGAGGUGACAAACCUAUCGAGCGCAGUAAUAGCUGGUUGCCUGAGAAAUGGAUAGAAGUUCAGCCCUUUAAAUUUCUCCCCCCAAACAUAUUUGUAAGAUCAAAGAAAAUUAGGGAGUUAAUCAGAAGGGGUACAGCCCUUUUGAUAAAAGAAACAACUUUAGUAGGUGAAACAGGAUCAUAUCAACCAAGGAUUAAGAUUUAAGUGGGCCUAAAAGCAGCCAUCUUUAAAGAAAGCGUUAAAGCUCCAACUAGCCCCCGCCCCUCAUAUUCUGGUAUCUAAUCUUCCCCCUCCCUACCAUUUACCAAGCUGUCUUAUGCCCCCAUAAGAAUAAUUAUGCUAAAAUGAGUAAUAAGAAGAAAUUCUACUUCUUCUCCUAGCAUAAGUGUAAGUCGAACCGGACCUCCCACCGACCAUUAUCCGAUCCCAACCCAAGAGGGCCUUAAGUUAAAAAACAAGAAAACCACUUAAUCAUAAUCGUUAACCUCACACAAGAAUGCAUCAAGGAAAGACUAAAAGGGAAGAAAGGAACUCGGCAAACUCAAGCCUCGCCUGUUUACCAAAAACAUCGCCUCUUGACCCACAAAUAUAAGAGGUCUCGCCUGCCCAGUGACUAAGCGUUUAACGGCCGUGGUAUCUUAACCAUGCGAAGGUAGCGUAAUCACUUGUCUUUUAAAUGAAGACCUGUAUGAAUGGCAAAACGAGGGCUUAACUGUCUCUCUCCCCCAGUCAAUGAAAUUGACCUCCCCGUGCAGAGGCGGGGAUAAACAUAUAAGACGAGAAGACCCUGUGGAGCUUUAGACUUAAAAUAACCACGUUAACAAACUUCGACACAAGAAAAAACUCACUGAAUUUUAUUUAGAUGUCUUUGGUUGGGGUGACCGCGGGGUAAAACACAACCCCCACGAAGAUAGGGGAGACAUCCCCAGCACUAAGAACCACCCCUCUAAGUAACAAAAUUUUUGACUUGAAAUGAUCCGGCUUAGCCGAUUAACGAACUCAGUUACCCCAGGGAUAACAGCGCAAUCCCCUCUCAGAGCUCCUAUCGACGAGGGGGUUU
rnacentral:rRNA from 1 species